GACGAACGCUGGCGGCGCGCUUAACACAUGCAAGUCGAACGGAAAGGCCUGCUUUCCCUUGUGGAUUGCGGGUACUCGAGUGGCGAACGGGUGAGUAACACGUGAGUGAUCCGCCCCCAACUUGGGUAUAAGCCUGGGAAACUGGGUCUAAUUCCCGAUAGGACUGCAGGGUGGUGCCUGUGGUGGAAAACGAUUUUCUAGUGGUUGGGGAUGAGCUCGCGGCCUAUCAGCUUGUUGGUGGGGUAAUGGCCUACCAAGGCGGCGACGGGUAGCCAGCCUGGGAGGGUGGACGGCGACAUUGGGACUGAGAUACGGCUCAGACUCCUACGGGAGGCAGCAGUGGGGAAUAUUGCACAAUGGGCGGAAGCCUGAUGCAGCGACGCCGCGUGGGGGAUGACGGCCUUCGGGUUGUAAACUCCUUUCGACCGCGAGGAAGCCACCUGGUUGGAAGGGUGGUGACGGUAGUGGUAGAAGAAGCACCGGCUAACUACGUG
rnacentral:rRNA from 1 species